rnacentral:rRNA from 1 species
ACUGGAGUUUGAUCCUGGCUCAGGAUGAACGCUAGCGGCAGGCCUAAUACAUGCAAGUCGAACGGUGUAGCAAUACAUAGUGGCGCACGGGUGCGUAACACGUAUGCAACCUACCUUAUACUGGGGGAUAGCCUUUGGAAACGGAGAUUAAUACCCCAUAGUACAUUUGAUUGGCAUCAAGUAGCUGUUAAAGAUUUAUCGAUGUAAGCUGGGCAUGCGUCCAAUUAGCUAGUUGGUGAGGUAAUGGCUCACCAAGGCUAUGAUUGGUAGGGGAACUGAGAGGUCAACUCCCCCACACUGGCACUGAGAUACGGGCCAGACUCUACGGGAGCAGCAGUAGGGAAUAUUGGGCAAUGGACGCAAGUCUGACCCCAGCCCAU